AUGGCGACGGUGACCACCGGCCUCGUGGCCGCGGCGUCGCUCCUCCUGCUGCUCGCGGGAGGCGCGUCGGCGGCGACGCUGGCGCUGUACAACAAGUGCGGCGAGACGGUGUGGCCGGGCAUCCAGCCGGGGGCCGGCAAGGAGAUCCUGGCGCGCGGCGGGCUGCAGCUGCUCCCCAACCGCGCCACCUCCAUCCGCCUCCCGGCCGGCUGGUCGGGCCGCGUGUGGGGCCGGCAGGGGUGCCGCUUCGACGCGGCGGGCCGCGGCAAGUGCGCCACGGGCGACUGCGGCGGCGCCCUCUACUGCAACGGCGCCGGCGGCGAGCCCCCGGCCACGCUGGCCGAGAUCACGCUCGGCGCGUCCGCCUCCGCGCUCGACUUCUACGACGUGAGCCUGGUGGACGGCUACAACGUGGCCAUCGACAUGCGGCCCUACCACGGGUCCGGCGCCAACUGCCUCCCCGCCGGCUGCGUCAGCGACCUCAACAGCGUCUGCCCCGCCGGCCUCGCCGUCCGCGGCGGCAACCGGGUCGUGGGGUGCCGCAGCGCAUGCGCCGCGUUCGGGAGCGCCGAGUACUGCUGCACGGGGCAGUUCGGCGGCCCGCAGCAGUGCAAGCCGACGACCUACUCGCGGCUGUUCAAGCGGGCGUGCCCCAAGGCCUACUCCUACGCGUAUGAUGACAAGACCUCCAUCCUCACCUGCGCCGCCGGCACCUCCUACGUCGUCACCUUCUGCCCCCACCGCCGCUAG
rnacentral:rRNA from 1 species